rnacentral:lncRNA from 1 species
CUUUGUGCUAACAUGGCAUUUUCCCAUUGUUGCACCUAUUGUUUUAGGGUUUAGACGUUGUUCGUCAGCGAUGUUCAUAUCUUCAUUUCCUCUGCACUCAUUAUGAAGCUCUUGGCCCCUCCAUCUCCUGGGCGGAGUGAAUUUUGGGGUGAACUUUUCCCGUUACUACUGUACCACCACCUGUAACAGAACGUCUCACGACGAAGGAGACGACCGCGACGGUGCUGACUUUGCCGGACCUUUGCAUUCUCGUCAGCGAUUGAACACCGCCGUCUGACCGGAACCGUUCCUCAAAUCUCCAUCGACGCCGCUCUCUCCUUCGGCUGCCUCGCCGCUGCUCCGGCGAUCUCCAAUCUCUUCCAGGUCCACCUAAAAUUAAGUUUAAGGUAUGGUUUGAUUUCUGAAUAUUUGUAUAUAUGCAUAUUCUUCAAGCGGUUGGUAUCGAUGUGCUAAGAGAGACGCUGGAGACUGCAGAGGAAUCAUGAGCUAUGAAGAAGAGAAAAAGAGCCCCUUUUUGUGGAGCAGAGAAGGAUUCGAUUCGAUUGAUCAGAAGUCAAUAAAGUUAAGCCAAUGAGCAGUUUUAAACAAGUAAUCCCAAAUACUAUGGUUUCUGUUACUUAUGAUUCUUAUAUUGUGAGAAUCAUGUAUAUGGUAUGAGUAGGACUUAAGCUCUGAUGGUGGGUUUUAAUUACUUAAAUUACACGCAAGACAUAUCACUUAAUCUUUUUGCUAUACACCCUUUUUUUCUCCACAUUUAAUUACAACUAAGUAACAAACCAUGGUCAAGGCCGGCCCUGAGCAUGGGUGGGGUGGGCGCCGGCGUGAACCCAUAAAUAUAAUUAGAGGUGAAUCCAUAUACAAGAAAUAGUUAUAAUGCAAUGAAAAGGUCUCUUUCAUCCAAAUGGUACCCGGUUCAAGUGUCUUCUCUAUCAUUUUUAUGGCCCCUUGGCCCCCUUCUCUGGGUAUUUUUUGUCCAGUUGACAUGGUUUUUUUAAGGCCCCUUCCCUGGGUAUUUUUGUCCUGUUUGAGUGC